rnacentral:rRNA from 1 species
CAGCAGUAGCCACGGUAAAACGAAGGGGGCUAGCGUUGUUCGGAAUUACUGGGUGUAAAGCGCACGUAGGCGGAUAUUUAAGUCAGGGGUGAAAUCCCGCAGCUCAACUGCGGAACUGCCUUUGAUACUGGGUAUCUUGAGUUUGGAAGAGGUUAGUGGAAUUGCGAGUGUAGAGGUGAAGUUCGUAGAUAUUCGCAGGAACACCAGUGGCGAAGGCGGCUAACUGGUCCAUAACUGACGCUGAGGUGCGAAAGCGUGGGGAGCAAACAGGAUUAGAUACCCCAGUAGUCCCUGUCUCUUAUAC